rnacentral:misc_RNA from 1 species
GUCAAAACAAGUUCCUGUAAGUGUGCUAACCAUAUUCUAUAUGCACAUAGACAUUGCUUCAAUUAUAGGCAAGCAUUACAUUACAGAAUAAGGGUGAAUGCACAAAAACUAAGAGAUACACAGCACAAAUUUAUUCCUAGUUUUGUUGAUAUGACGGAUGUUAUGCUAAACUGGGUUUGAUUAGGUUUUAUUUCAGUCCUUGCAUGUAAAAUAAUUUUCAUAUGUGCUAUUCAUAUAUUCUGCACAAGUAGGUCAUUCAGUUAGCUAGAUGUGGAAUAUUAAAGAAACUUGAAA